UUUCCGUAGGUGAACCUGCGGAAGGAUCAUUAAUGAGUCUUUGAAGUGGGUUUGAUGCUGGUCUUUCGAGGCAUGUGCUCGCCCUAUUCUCAUCCACUCACACCUGUGCACCUUACGUUUAAGAAGUGGUUGUUGCCUCCCUUCGGGUUGGCAAGUUAGGGAAACCUAGCUAUGGCCCUUCUUUGCGUUACUUUACACAAACUCUUGAAUGUCAUAGAAUGUAUAUUGGCCUACGGGCUUUAAUUUAAAUACAACUUUCAACAACGGAUCUCUUGGCUCUC
rnacentral:misc_RNA from 1 species